rnacentral:rRNA from 1 species
GCCUACGGGGGGCAGCAGUCGAGGAUCUUCGGCAAUGGGCGCAAGCCUGACCGAGCGACGCCGCGUGGAGGAUGAAGGCCUUCGGGUUGUAAACUCCUGUCGAGGGGGAUCAAGGGGCAACCUUGAGUGAUCCCUGGAGGAAGCACGGGCUAAGUUCGUGCCAGCAGCCGCGGUAAGACGAACCGGGCGAACGUUUUUCGGAAGCACUGGGCAUAAAGGGCGCGUAGGCGGCUUAUCAAGUCAUGGGUGAAAUCCGUGAGCUCAACUGUCGAAGUGCCUUUGAUACUGAUGAGCUCGAGGGAGGUAGGGGUCUGUGGAACUUCCGGUGGAGCGGUGAAAUGCGUUGAUAUCGGAAGGAACGCCGGUGGCGAAAGCGACGGACUGGACCUCUUCUGACGCUGAGGCGCGAAAGCUCGGGGAGCAAACGGGAUUAGAUACCCGUGUAGUC